AGCUCCUGCCCUUGUUGUGGAGGUUUGUGCCUCUGAUCCAGGCUCACUGUGGUGCUGAUGGAGCUGAGCCCAUUCAAGGCUUGCUGUGCUGUUGUGGGACUGUUCUCGACAUGCAACUGCUUUCUGUAAAGGUAGCUCAGCUGCCUCUGAGCUCUGGGCUGUCCUGCAGUGCACACACAUUCCCUGGGAGAGGUUCUAAUGGCUCAGAAGGAAAUGCUACUGGCCCUAACACAUAUUUGAAGAACAAGUCUAGUGAGCAUACAAAUAUUUUUCAGGUGUCAAGAGAAUGCAUACUGCCAUCUAAGAAACAUACAAAGGGCCUGAUUUCUGGAAGUAGGGGAUGAGGAGUUCCUCUGUCGAAAAUUCAUUUCAGCCCAUUCUGUUUUCCUCAGAAACCACACGGGAGCAGUGUGGUCCAGCCUUUGAGAAAGGAACUGCUAGUCUUUCCUCUGGUGCCUGAACUCAUCUGUCAGAGGAUGUCUCAGUCUGAGAUAUAAGAACACAAAACUGAUGACAAGUAAAAUAUUUCACAGAAUAUCCAUCUUUCACUUUGCAAAUACUCCUUUGUGAGAAAUCAGAUUGUCGGUAAGGGCUACUCAGUAUACUUUCCAUAUUGAAUGAAAUAAAGAAUAAAGGCUGUAUUUUGUGCUGUUGCGGUCUGUGAUUGGAUAAUUUGAAGUA